rfam:Populus trichocarpa scaffold_3_contig_220, whole genome shotgun sequence.
UAUAUCUCGUGGCUUGGUUAAGGAAACCCACCUGAACCAUAGCAAAAGUAAGUCUUCAUAAGACAAUUGUCAUUGCUUAUGGACUCGAAUCUCAAUGAUCUAUCUAUGACUAGGAUGAAGUUUGGGUGAAACUAAGUAGAGGUCCAAACUGACUGAUGUUAAAGAGUCAACAAAUGAGUUGUGGUUAGGGAUGAAAUGCAACUCGAACCCAAAGCUAGCUGG